rnacentral:rRNA from 1 species
AUUGAACGCUGGCGGCAGGCCUAAAACAUGCAAGUCGAGGGCAGCGGCGGACGGGUGAGUAAUGUAUGGGAAACUGACUGAUGGAGGGGGAUAACUACUGGAAACGGUAGCUAAUACGGCAUACUAUCAGAUGAGGCUAGGGCGGAUUAGCUAGUUGGUGGGGUAAAGGCCUAUCAAGGAGACGAUCCGUAACUGGUCUGAGAGGAUGAUCAGUCACACUGGAACUGAGACACGGUCCAGACUCCUACGGGAGGCAGCAGUGGGGAAUAUUGGACAAUGGGCGAAAGCCUGAUCCAGCCAUGCCGCGUGUGUGAAGAAGGUCUUCGGAUUGUAAAGCACUUUAAGUUGGGAGGCGUUACCAACAGAAUAAGCCCCGGCUAACUUCGUGCCAGCAGCCGCGGUAAUAC